GACGAACGCUGGCGGCGUGCCUAAUACAUGCAAGUAGGACGCAGUUGCGAACGGGUGAGUAACGCGUAGGUAACUGCCUAUUAGAGGGGGAUAACUAUUGGAAACGAUAGCUAAUACCGCAUACUAGUAGAUGGACCUGCGUUGUAUUAGCUAGUAGGUAGGGUAAUGGCCUACCUAGGAAACGUAACAUAGCCGAACUGGGAGGUUGGACGGCCCCCAGGGGACUGAUACACGGCCCAGACUCCGUCAGGAGGCAGCAGUAGGGAAUCUUCGGCAAUGGGGGGAACCCUGGCCGUGCAACGCCGCGUUAUUGAAGAAGGUUUUCGGAUCGUUAAGCUCUGUUGUUAAGGAAGCGGUACUUAACCAGAAAGGGACGGCUAACUACGUGCCAGCAGCCGCGGUAAUAC
rnacentral:rRNA from 1 species